rfam:Homo sapiens chromosome 9, GRCh38 reference primary assembly.
GGGAGGUGUGAUAUCGUGCUUCCUGGGACGUGUGAUGCUGUGCUUCCUGGGAGGUGUGAUCCCACACUCGCU